rnacentral:rRNA from 1 species
UACGUAGGGGGCGAGCGUUGUUCGGAAUUACUGGGCGUAAAGCGCGUGUAGGCGGCAGCGUGUGUCGGGCGUGAAAUCCCACGGCUCAACCGUGGAAGUGCACUCGAAACUGCGCAGCUAGAGUCCUGGAGAGGAAGGUGGAAUGCUUGGUGUAGAGGUGAAAUUCGUAGAUAUCAAGCGGAACACCGGUGGCGAAGGCGACCUUCUGGACAGUGACUGACGCUGAGACGCGAAAGCGUGGGGAGCAAACAGG